rnacentral:tRNA from 1 species
CCUCCUUAUCUUGAAGUAAAACGUUUUAAUGAAAGCCUUGGCUUUGCGAGUGUUCACACAAAUUGUAUGAUAAUGAAUUAGAGAAACGAUAGGUCUGUAGCUCACCUGGUUAGAGCGCACCCCUGAUAAGGGUGAGGUCGGCAGUUCAAGUCUGCCCAGACCUACCAAUAUAGUUUACUCAGUGUUAGUUCGCACCUCGUGUAAUAAACUACACAGGGUUAGCAACUGCCUUGAUUAAAACCUAAAUUUUCGUUUUAUUCUACUAUAAAGAAAGAAACCAAACUUAACGCAUCAAUGAUUGAUGGUUUAAGUUUGGUUUUUUAAACCAAGUUUUUAACCGAGUGCGCGUUAAUCACUACUUCUUUAACAAUCUGGAAAGCUGAUAUAAAUAUCGGUAUUUAUAUAACAAACACGGUGUCGCGCUGUUGUUUGUAAUAUUAUAAAUACCAAGCUGUNAGUACAUUCUCUUAUCGUGAAUGUGUUAAUGGUGGUAAUGCAUCCCCCAAGGAUGUGUUAUCGAAUUCAUACUGCUCGCAAAACCAAAA